rnacentral:rRNA from 1 species
AUGGCCUCUCCGUCACCUUGCGGCCUCUCUGUCUCACAGGGAAUGAAUAGGAGCUCCGGCCAAGGCCAUGGACGCCACCAGCAGAAGCUCUGCCUCAGAUCUUGCGACCUCGUCGACCGGAUCCAGCAGGUCCCCGCCGCUGCGCCAAGAUCCUCCCCUCCCUCCCAGAGAGGCCCUCUCUCCCACACGCUCUGCAUCCGCUACGGCCGUCGCAGCUUCCACCUCCAGAAGAGCAUCUGUUCCUCGUGCGAUUACCCGUCCGCCCGCAUCCACAAGUAUGCUUGUGCAAAAUUACUGCUGUACUGGCCAGAAUUCAGUGCUAAAGAUCACUUCAUGUAUGUGUUCUCUCAAAAUUCAGUUAUGCUCUAG